CCUACGGGUGGCAGCAGUGAGGAAUAUUGGUCAAUGGACGAGAGUCUGAACCAGCCAAGUAGCGUGAAGGAUGACUGCCCUAUGGGUUGUAAACUUCUUUUAUAAAGGAAUAAAACGAGGCACGUGUGCCUUUUUGCAUGUACUUUAUGAAUAAGGAUCGGCUAACUACGUGCCAGCAGCCGCGGUAAUACGUAGGGGGCGAGCGUUAUCCGGAUUUACUGGGUGUAAAGGGAGCGUAGACGGCAGGGCAAGUCUGCAGUGAAAGGCGGGGGCUCAACCCCCGGACUGCUGUGGAAACUGGACGGCUGGAGUGCAGGAGAGGUAUGUGGAAUUCCUGGUGUAGCGGUGAAAUGCGUAGAUAUUAGGAAGAACACCGGUGGCGAAGGCGGCAUACUGGACUGUAACUGACGUUGAGGCUCGAAGGCGUGGGGAGCAAACAGGAUUAGAUACCCCGGUAGUC
rnacentral:rRNA from 1 species